AUGCACCACAAUUGUGUUUUCAAUUCUACAGCAUCAGUUUUCUCUGUGAUGAGGAGAAAAAAACCCACUCUUUUGAAAUGCGAGUCAUUUGUAAUGUUACGUGCAGAGGAUUCUGGUGUUGUGAUCUUUCACUUUUGCCCUGCAUUUAAUACUGAAGAUCAUUCAGCCAUGGUGAAACCAGAUGGAGGAAAUUCUCUCCUGCAAGACAUGAAGGCCAACGACGGUAUGAAAGAUGUGGGGCUGCUUUGUCAUUUAUUGCUCCAUAUUCCAUAUGCUUGCCUGAUUGGUGUGGGGAAAGGUCUAUUUAUUAAUACAAUGGUUGAUGUCAAAUGCAGGCAGCUGACAGGAGAAAAAAAAAAAAAAGGAAAAAAAAAAAGAGCAGAACAGCCUUAAGGGAACUCAGUAUGCUGCUGAAAACCAUACAAGGAUGGUAGGUCUGGGGGCUCAGCCUUCCCCAGCACAACGCUUCAGGCAGUAAUCUUGGCAGAAAGGUUGCAGCAGGGAAAAAAAAAAAGACCCUUUCUGGCAAAACCAGACAAUUUCUGUUAAGCUGUCAGAACAACACCAACAGGUAAAGUGGGUGUAGAAGCUAACUCUAAGAAACAUUCCCAUAAACAGAUGGAUCUUUCUAUAUAGGUCAAACUUUUGUUUUCUGCCAGCCCUCUUUCUCACUCCUAGGAUGAUGCCAGCUGCACUACACAGUACUGCUGCUCUCUCACUCUUGAAAGAAAGCUUUUUCCAGGUGCCAAAUCCAAUCAGAACAAUGUAGGUAGCUCAGCUGAUGACAGGGAACCAGAUCCAAUGUGCUGCAAGGAGCAAAAUGCACCGGCAGCUUCAGGAAUCCGCACCCCCAGGAGAUGGACCACCUGGCCUGCCCACACCACCAGGUUUCCUAAGACAUCCUUCCUAGCUCCAGUAAACUUCAGUACCCCCAGGAGGGUCUGAAAAAGGUAAAUGUGGGCCAAAGCCACUUUUUUUUUUUUUUUUUUGAGAUCAGCAUUUAGUGAAGCUCCUUGUUACCCACAACCUUGUUUCAGAAUAAAUGAGCCAGUUAAUGCA
rnacentral:lncRNA from 1 species